rnacentral:antisense_RNA from 1 species
GUGCGCACAGUGAGGAGAGCAGGUGUGUGCGAGGUUGAAACAAAACGUUCAAAGCCCCCUCGGAAGCCCAUCCACAGGUGUGUGACUGUGAACCGCAUCGUAAUCUCCUAGAAAGCAAGAACAUCAGGCUUACAUUUUCCACUUGCCUCUCAGGGCUCAGAGCUCUGUAGCAUAUACACAAUGUCAGUGAAGACUGAAAACAGAACGUGGAGAGAGAUGUAGCUUACUAGAGCCCUGUGGCUUCAAUCCCCACCAGGAAUGUCGUUUAAGAGGAAGGUGAUCUAGCACAAAUUCACAUUUGCUUGAGGAAGAAUACAAACAGAAGCAGCCUCGGAGGGCGGACGGGGCUGGGGAAUCCCUGGCCUCCCUCCUUUCCUUCUGGCUGAUCUUCUGCAGGAGACCUCACAAAAGGGAGCUGAGGGGCCAGGAAGCCUGUGGAUGCCCUGAAGAAGAAUGAGUAGAUCUGAAAGGGCAGUAGAACAGAACCAGAAUCCAGUGCAAAGGCCCUGGGGCAGGAGUUCGCAUGAGAAGUGGGGAGAAGGAACCAGCCUAUGAUCCAGGAACGCA